rnacentral:rRNA from 1 species
UGGGGAAUAUUGCACAAUGGGCGCAAGCCUGAUGCAGCAACGCCGCGUGCGGGAUGACGGCCUUCGGGUUGUAAACCGCUUUCACCAGGGACGAAGUGCCUUUCGGGGUGUGACGGUACCUGGAGAAGAAGCACCGGCUAACUACGUGCCAGCAGCCGCGGUGAUACGUAGGGUGCGAGCGUUGUCCGGAUUUAUUGGGCGUAAAGAGCUCGUAGGUGGUUGAUCACGUCGGAAGUGAAAACUUGGGGCUUAACCCUGGGCGUGCUUUCGAUACGGGUUGA